UUUUGGCAGUGAUGACUAAAUUUACAGCUUUAUGCCAGUUCUGCUUCAGAAAAUUCGUGAUCGAGAGAGCUGUUUCAUACUCUGAGCCUUCA
rnacentral:snoRNA from 3 species